rnacentral:rRNA from 1 species
AAAAACAACUCUGAGCAGUGGAUCACUCGGCUCACGGGUCGAUGAAGAACGCAGCCAGCUGCGAGAUUUGGUGUGAAUUGCAGGACACAUUGAGCACUGAUUUUUCGAACGCACAUUGCGGCCUCGGGUCUCUCCCGGGGCCUCGCCUGUCUGAGGGUCGGAUAAGACUUGCAUAGGAAAUGGGUUUUUUCCCACUUUCCAAUUGACCGCACCGGAGACUCUAGUAGUUUCCGCCGGUUCAAGGGCAAUCAGGAUCCUCCCCGGUCGAAGGAGCGUCGCCUUGAUGCAUGCUCGUCGGUUGGAGAAGCCGAACAUAAAAGAGUUUCUCCUCGAGGACGAGAUAUAGGCUUGAUGCUUAAGAAACCAUACUUUAAGGGAGAGAGUACUGCUUUUCUUUGUCAGAAAUGACGAAAAAAGACUUUUAAAAAAACUUGUCGACCUCAGAUCAGACGAGAUGACCCGCUGAAUUUAAGCAUAUAAAUAAGCGGAGGAAAAGAAACCAACAGGGAUUCCCUGAGUAACGGCGAGCGAAAAGGGAAGAGCCCAGCGCCAAAUCCCGCUUUCGAAAGAGGGCUGGGAAAUGUGGCGUUUAGGAGUGAGCGUGCUGGGAGUGGACAUGGCAGCAAGUCCCCCUGACCGGGGCUGUUACCCAAAGUGGGUGCGAGGCCCAUAGUUGCUUUGUCUCUUUCGGAUGCGAUCUCCUUGGAGUCGGGUUGCUUGGGAGUGCAGCCCUAAUCGGGUGGUAAACUCCACCUAAGGCUAAAUACCACCGUGAGACCGAUAGCAAACAAGUACCGUGAGGGAAAGUUGCAAAGAACUUUGAAGAGAGAGUUCAAGAGUACGUGAAACUGCUCAGAGGCAAACGGGUGGGCCCUCGAAAUCCUGUGGCGGGAGGAUUCAGUCGAGUGGCGGGGACGCGAGGCCGGAGAGACCAGAAUGGUUCACUUCAGUGACCGCUCCAGCUUCGCGCUUUCUCGUCGUCCGACGCAUUUGUUUCCCGUCCGAAGGACGCCGCAACCGGUUGGGGAACGGCCUUAAGGUCGGGUAAUGGCAGGUGGCCGGUGUUCAGCCUCGUGCUGUCUGCCGGUUGUUAGCCGUCCCGUCGCAUGGCUCGUGAUCCGACCGUGGUGUCGCGAAGCCCCUCGUGGGCUUCUACGCCUCCUCCGUUCGCGGACGCCGGGCAUUGGGCGGCAGAAGAUUCCUUCGCACUGCGGACGCACGGGCUCGCCUCGUGGUCCUGCGGUCGGAGGGCUUUGUUGGUUGCUCUUGACCCGUCGGAGUGCUGGCGGUUAGCGGCGAGUAGAUCGGUCACCCACCCGACCCGUCUUGAAACACGGACCAAGGAGUCUAACAUGUGUGCGAGUCAAUGGGUCUCGAAUAAGCCCAGAGGCGCAAUGAAAGCAAAGGUCGGCCUCGACGUCGACUGUGUUGGGAUCUUCCCUCCUUCGCGGGGGAGGCGCACCAACGACCCGUCCUGUCCGAUUUAUCGGUUGGGCGGAGUCUGAGCAUACACGUUGGGACCCGAAAGAUGGUGAACUAUGCCCGGGCAGGACGAGGCCAGAGGAAACUCUGGUGGAGGUCCGCAGCGGUUUGACGUGCAAAUCGAUCGUCAGAUCCGGGUAUAGGGGCGAAAGACUAAUCGAACCAUCUAGUAGCUGGUUCCCUCCGAAGUUUCCCUCAGGAUAGCUGGCGCUCGUAGAACUCAGUCUCAUCCGGUAAAGCGAAUGAUUAGAGGCCUUGGGGCCGAAACGACCUCAACCUAUUCUCAAACUUUAAAUGGGUGAGAAGUCCGCCUUGCAUGACUGAAGGCCGGACGAUUGGAUGAGAGUGCCCAGUGGGCCACUUUUGGUAAGCAGAACUGGCGCUGUGGGAUGAACCAAACGCCGGGUUAAGGCGUCCGAUGCGAGACGCUCAUGAGACCCCAUGAAAGGUGUUGGUUGCUCUAGACAGCAGGACGGUGGCCAUGGAAGUCGGAAUCCGCUAAGGAGUGUGUAACAACUCACCUGCCGAAGCAACUAGCCCUGAAAAUGGAUGACGCUCCAGCGUCGAGCCCAUACCCGGCCGCUGCGGCAGAUCUCUUAAUUAUAGGAAUUAAGCCGCAGUGAGUAGGAGGGUCGCAGCGGCGAGCGUUGAAGGUGCCGGGCGUGAGCCCGCCUGGAGCCGCCGCUGGUGCAGAUCUUGGUGGUAGUAGCAAAUACUCAAGUGAGAACCUUGAGGACUGAAGUUGGAGAAGGGUUCCAUGUGAACAGCAGUUGAACAUGGGUCAGUCGGCCCUAAGGGAUCGGAGAAAUCCGUUCUGAAGCGAGACAUUGACAAGGUGCCGACCACGGCAAGUGUGCUCGUCUCGCUGCCGACCGAAAGGGAAUGGGGUCAAUAUUCCCCAACCCGGACACGGAGAGAGAGCCCUCGGGCUCGAGUGCGGUAACGCAACCGAACUCGGAGACGUCGACGGAAGACCCGGGGAAGAGUUGUCUUUUCUUUGUAAGAGUUCGUGUCCCUGGAAUCGGCUCGUCCGGAGAUAGGGACGCUGUUCUCGUAAAAGCACCGCGGCUCUUGCGGUGUCCGGUGCGCUUCUGUCGGCCCUUGCAAAUCCGAGGGAGAUGGUGUGAUUUUCGUGCCGGUCCGUACCCAUAUCCGCAGCAGGUCUCCAAGGUGAACAGCCUCUAGUCGAUAGAACAAUGUAGGUAAGGGAAGUCGGCAAGUUCGAUCCGUAACUUCGGGACAAGGAUUGGCUCUGAGGACUGGGCCCGUCGGGCUGGGGUCCGAAGCGGGUGUGGCACUGCACCGGGACUGGGCGAGACUGGCCGGGGCAACCCGGUCCGGUUCGGCCCGGACCAGCGUCGGGGCCUUCCCGUGGAAUGCCUCAGCUGCGCGGCGGACCGGGCAUCAGUCCGGACCGACCGUUUCGGCGGGCAACUAACAGCCGACUCAGAACUGGCACGGACUAAGGGAAUCCGACUGUCUAAUUAAAACAAAGCAUUGCGAUGGCCGGUGACCGGUGUUGACGCAAUGUGAUUUCUGCCCAGUGCUCUGAAUGUCAAAGUGAAGAAAUUCAUC